rnacentral:rRNA from 1 species
CAGCCUGCCAGUGACUACAAGUUCAACGGCCGCGGUAUUUUGACCGUGCAAAGGUAGCGCAAUCACUUGUCUUUUAAAUAGAGACCUGUAUGAAUGGCUAAACGAGGGCUUAACUGUCUCCCCUUUCCAGUCAGUGAAAUUGAUCUGCCCGUGCAGAAGCGGACAUAAUAAUACAAGACGAGAAGACCCUUUGGAGCUUAAGGUACAAAACUCAACCACGUCAAGCAACUUAAUAAAAAGCAAAAACUUUGUGGAAUAUGAGACUUUACCUUCGGUUGGGGCGACCACGGAGGAAAACAAAGCCUCCAAGUGGAUUGGGAAAACCUCCUAAAACCAAGAGAGACAUCUCUAAGCCACAGAACAUCUGACCAAACAUGAUCCGGCCACCUAAAGCCGAUCAACGAACCAAGUUACCCUAGGGAUAACAGCGCAAUCCUCUCCCAGAGUCCAUAUCGACGAGAGGGUUUACGACCUCGAUGUUGGAUCAGGACAUCCUAAUGGUGCAGCCGCUAUUAAGGGUUCGUUUGUUCAACGAUUAAAGUCCUACGUGAUCUGA